rnacentral:lncRNA from 1 species
AUGGACCUAACAGAAGCAGAAGAUAUUAAGAAGAGGUGGCAAGAAUACACAGAAGAACUGUACAAAAAAGAUCUUCAUGACCCAGGUAAUCACAAUGGUGUGAUCACUCACCUAGAGCCAGACAUCCUGGAAUCUGAAGUCAAGUGGGCCUUAGAAAGCAUCAUUACGAACAAAGCGAGUGGAGGUGAUGGAAUUCCAGUUGAGCUAUUUCAAAUCUUGAAAGAUGAUGUUGUGAAAGUGCUGCACUCAGUACGCCAGCAAAUUUGGAAAACUCAGCAGUGGCCACAAGACUGGAAAAGGUCAGUUUUCAUUCCAAUCCCAAAGAAAGGCAAUGCCAAAGAAUGCUCAAACUACUGCACAAUUGCACUCAUCUCACAUGCUAGCAAAGUAACACUCAAAAUUCUCCAAGCCAGGCUUCAGCAAUAUGUGAACCGUGAAAUUCCAGAUGUUCAAGCUGGUUUUAGAAAAGGCAGAGGAACCAGAGAUCAAAUUGCCAACAUCUGCUGGAUCAUAGAAAAAGCAAGAGAAUUCCAGAAAAACAUCUAUUUCUGCUUUAUUGACUAUGCCAAAGCCUUUGACUAUGUGGAUCACAAUAAACUGUGGAAAAUUCUGAGAGAGAUGGGAAUACCAGACCACCUGACCUGCCUCUUGAGAAACCUGUAUGCAGGUCAGGAAGCAACAGUUAGAACUGGACAUGGAACAACAGACUGGUUCCAAAUAGGAAAAGGAGUACAUCAAGGCUGUAUAUUGUCACUCUGCUUAUUUAACUUCUAUGCAGAAUACAUCAUGAGAAAUGCUGGGCUGGAAGAAGCACAAGCUGGAAUCAAGAUUGCCGGGAGAAAUAUCAAUAACCUCAGAUAUGCAGAUGACACCACCCUUAUGGCAGAAAGUGAAGAGGAACUAAAAAGCCUCUUGAUGAAAAUGAAAGAGGAGAGUGAAGAAGUUGGCUUAAAGCUCAACAUUCAGAAAACGAAGAUCAUGGCAUCUGGCCCAAUCACUUCAUGGGAAAUAGACGAGGAAACAGUGGAAACAGUGUCAGACUUUAUUUUGGGGGGCUCCAAAAUCACUGCAGAUGGUGACUGCAGCCAUGAAAUUAAAAGAUGCUUACUCCUUGAAAGAAAAGUUAUGACCAACCUAGAGAGCACGUUUAAAAGCAGAGACAUUACUUUGCCAACAAAGGUCCAUCUAGUCAAGGCUAUGGUUUUUCCUGUGGUCAUGUAUGGAUGUGAGAGUUGGACCGUGAAGAAAGCUGAGUGCCGAAGAAUUGAUGCUUUUGAACUGUGGUGUUGGAGAAGACUCUUGAGAGUCCUUUGGACUACAAGGAGAUCCAACCAGUCCAUUCUAAAGGAGAUCAGCCCUGGGAUUUCUUUGGAAGGAAUGAUGCUAAAGUUGAAACUCCAGUACUUUGGCCACCUUAUGCGAAGAGUUGACUCAUUGGAAAAGACUCUGAUGCUGGGAAGGAUUGGGGGCAAGAGGAGAAGGGUCGACAGAGGAUGA